rnacentral:rRNA from 1 species
ACGGGGGGUGCAAGCGUUGUUCGGAAUUAUUGGGCGUAAAGAGCGUGUAGGCGGCUGAAUAAGUCAGAUGUGAAAUCCCCGGGCUUAACCUUGGAAGUGCAUUUGAAACUAUUCAGCUGGAGUAAGGGAGAGGAAAGUGGAAUUCCUGGUGUAGAGGUGAAAUUCGUAGAUAUCAGGAGGAACACCGGCGGCGAAGGCGACUUUCUGGCCCUAUACUGACGCUGAGACGCGAGAGCGUGGGUAGCAAACAG